UACGAAGGGGGCUAGCGUCGUUCGGAAUUACUGGGCGUAAAGCGCACGUAGGCGGAUAUUUAAGUCAGGGGUGAAAUCCCAGAGCUCAACUCUGGAACUGCCUUUGAUACUGGGUAUCUCGAGUAUGGAAGAGGUGAGUGGAAUUCCGAGUGUAGAGGUGAAAUUCGUAGAUAUUCGGAGGAACACCAGUGGCGAAGGCGGCUCACUGGUCCAUUACUGACGCUGAGGUGCGAAAGCGUGGGGAGCAAACAGG
rnacentral:rRNA from 1 species